ensembl:lncRNA
UCCACCCACACUUAUCUAUUCUACUUGCCUUUUCUGAUGAGAUCUAUCUGUUUUCCCUAGUCUUUUACUCUAUUACCCUCUGUGCUUCUACAGACUGUGAGCUCUGAUUCACUAAACUGCUGAACGUAAAGAAGUGCAUUUAAGAAGAAAAUGUUGGAAUGGUCCUCUGGUCACCAUGGCAUCCACCAGUAGCCUCAGUUCCAGAUCUUGAGGAAGCUGUCCUGGGACCCUGUUGCUACAGCCAUGCCAUCACUAGUCACUCCCAGGCAACAGACAUGGUUGUGGUGUCCUGCUCUGUCAGCCUUCCAGACACUGCAGGUGAAGUCAUCGUUCUAUCCAGCAAGAAGGAGGUGGUGGCCACUAUUAGGGAAGAAUACAGAUGUGAUCCCACAGAUGAUGUCAUGGGAGUAGGUCAUGAGCUGCAUGGAUGUCAAACAGCCUGCACACAACCUCAUCUGGGCCAGUGGCAAAGGCACUGCCACUGGAAAAGAAACAGAUGGCAUUGAUGUGAGACUCACGGAAGGUCUGCCCGCACAUCUCUUCUCAGACAUCCCAGGGCUUGGCUGAACCGUCGUUGCAAGCACCAGAGACAAACAGUCUGGUGUCAGG